GAAUGAAGUUCUAAUACAUGCUACCACAUGGAUGGACCUUGAAAAUGUUAUGCUAAGUGAAAUAUACCAAUCACAAAAGGAAAAGUAUUGUAUGAUUCCACUUACAUAAAAUAUCUAGAAUCAGAAAAUUCAUAAAGACAGAAAGUAGAUUAGAGGUCACCAGGAGCUGGGGGAAGGGGAGAAUGGAGAGUUAUUGCUUAAUGGUGACAGAGCCUCUGUUUGGGGGUGAUGAGAGUUUUGAAAAUAGGUAAUGAUAAUGGUUGCUGUCUUAGCUGGAGCUACUGUAAAAAAUGCCAUAGACCGGUGGUUAAAAGAAAAACAUUUACUUCUCUCGCAGUUCUGAAGGCUGGGAAGUCCAAGAUCAAGAUGCUGGCAGAUUUGCUUCCUAAGGAAAACUCUCUUCUUGUCGGGUGGACAGCUGUCUUCUCAUGUGCUCACAUGGCCUUUCUUGCAUGUGUGCACAUGGAGAGAGAGACAUCUUGCUGUCUUCCUCUUCUUAUGAUGGCAUUAAUCCCACCCUGAGAGCCCCACCAUCAUGGCCUAAUCUAAUCCUAAUUCCACCCCCAAUACCACCACAUUCCAGAUUAGGACAACAAUAUAGGAACUGGGGGCAGGUGGGGAAGGGGUCAUAAACAUUCAGUCCACAACAGUUGUACAACAUUGUAAAUGAACUCAAUGCCACUGAAUUGCAUAGUUAAAAUGGGUUAAAUGGGAAAGUGCCAGUGAAGCGCACAAGAUAUUCUUUAAAAAAGAAAAAUAUGAGGUAAAUGGCAAGUUUUAUGUUAUAUAGGUGUAUAUUACCACAAUAAAAGUAUUUUUAAAAAUACAUUUAUUCUGGGAGUUCCCAUCCUGGCUCAGCGGUAAUGAAUCCGACUAGAAUCCAGGAGGAUGUGGGUUUGAUCCCUGCCUCAGGGGGUUAAGGCUCUGGGGUUGGCAUGAACUGCAGUGUCAGUGGAAGAUGCAGUUUGGAUCCUACAUUGCUGUGACUCUGCUGGCCUACACCACAGCCACAGCCACUCAGGAUCUGAGCCACAUCUUUGACCUGCACCACAGCUCACGCCAGUGCCAGAUCCUUAAACUACUGAGGGAGGUGAGGGAUUGAACCCUAGUCCUCAUGGAUACUUAUUGAGUUCAUUAUUGAUGAGCUAUGACGGGAACUCCAAGAUUUGAGCUAAAUUAGGUGGCUGCGUUUGUUAUUUCUAUCUCUCUCUGAUAUUUUUUUCUGUCAAAAUAAACUCAAGGAAGUUUGUAGUGUAGUACAAACAUGUAUCUCCUGAACUAGUCAAGAAAUAAAUUGCUAACCUGAUGCCUCAUUAUUCCAUACUUUAGUGUGUAUUUCCCAUGAACUAGGACGUUCUCCUAUAUAUGCAAUAAAACCUUCAAUAUCUGGAAGCUAACUUGGACAUGUUACUGCUCAUUCAUCCUCAGACCUGAUUCAUGUUUCCCAAAAGUUUUUUUUUUUUUUUUUAAUUAGCAAUAUGUCCUUUACAGUGAAAGGCUGCAGGCCUAAAUCACUUGUUCUAUUUAGUUUUUCAUGUCUCUUCAGUCUUGAGUCUGAAUAGUUGUUCAGUCUUUUCCUGCCAUUCAUGACAGUGACACUUUUGAAGAUUACAAGUCAGUUUUUGUGUGACAUGUCCCUCAGUUUGGGCGAUACCUCUUUGUAGUUAGUUUCAGGACAGGCAUCUUUGGCAGGAAUAUCACAGAGGCAACCCUGUACUUUGGCAUCCUCUUGGGUGGCACAUGAUUAGGAUCAGCCCCAGGACUGGUAACCUUGACUCCAAUUACGUGAUUAAGGCGGCAUUUGCUCAAUUUCUUCACUGUAAAGUUACACUUUUCUCCUUCGUCAUUAAUAGGUGUUUUGUGGGGCAGUACUUUGAAACCAUUUAAAUAUCUGUGCCUCAACAACUUUCAAUUCAUUUAUUCAUGCAUUUAUAUUUCUAUGGAUUUAUUGGUUUUCUAUAUUACAAAAUGGACUAAAAUGUAUUACCUUUUGUUUUGAUGCCCACAUUAUCCCUAAUUUGGCCAGAGAAAAUCCAUUCAAACCUGCUUUUGUCCACAUCAUUCUUUGAGCACUUCCUUGCGUUUUGGCACAAUAAGAUAUUCCAGGAGUUUCCACUGUGGUGCAAUGGGAUCUGGUGUCUUGGGAGCACUGGGUUGCAGGUUGCCUGGCUUGGCCUAGUGUGUUAAGGAUCCCUCAUUGCUGUAGCUGUGGCUUAGGUCACAGCUAUGGCUUGGGUCUUAUCCCUAGCCCGGGAACUCCAUAUGUCAUGGGGCAGCCAAAAAAGAAAAAAAAAAAA
rnacentral:lncRNA from 9 species